rfam:Ciona savignyi cont_65799, whole genome shotgun sequence.
CCAACGGCUCUUUUCAGAGCCACCUAUUGUUUUCAAAGAGAAUUAU